GACGAACGCUGGCGGCGUGCUUAACACAUGCAAGUCGAACGGAAAGGCCCUGCUUUUGUGGGGUGCUCGAGUGGCGAACGGGUGAGUAACACGUGAGUAACCUGCCCUUGACUUUGGGAUAACUUCAGGAAACUGGGGCUAAUACCGGAUAGGAGCUCCUGCUGCAUGGUGGGGGUUGGAAAGUUUCGGCGGUGGGGGAUGGACUCGCGGCUUAUCAGCUUGUUGGUGGGGUAGUGGCUUACCAAGGCUUUGACGGGUAGCCGGCCUGAGAGGGUGACCGGCCACAUUGGGACUGAGAUACGGCCCAGACUCCUACGGGAGGCAGCAGUGGGGAAUAUUGCACAAUGGUCGGAAGCCUGAUGCAGCAACGCCGCGUGCGGGAUGACGGCCUUCGGGUUGUAAACCGCUUUCGCCUGUGACGAAGCGUGAGUGACGGUAAUGGGUAAAGAAGCACCGGCUAACUACGUG
rnacentral:rRNA from 1 species